ensembl:lncRNA
UCAUUUGAGUGUUGGCAGUGGAUUCAUAACUAUUUUGCUCGAGGUCCUUGUGUAUCUGAGGCCUUCUAAAGGCUUGUGUAUGCAGAGGAGAGAAGAGUCAGCCUCCUGGAGGUAGGGCAUGGCUGAAGACAUUUGCACUGCACCAAGACAGAAGGAUAAGGCUUGAGUAAAGGAGAACAACUGUUGAAGUAGUUUUGUCUGUUUAUGGCACCUGAGAUAGUUCAGUGUAUCCUGCCUUGUGUUCAGCUGUUGCUGGAGAUGUAGAUUUUCUCACACCUUGGUAAGGUCACUGCUGGAUGUUGACUCAAGGCCUCUUUCCAUGUUAAGGAUGGCCUCCCACUGGGAUGUAAAGCAUGAAGGCUUUCAGUCCAAAGGGAAUACAGCAAGUGAAUAACUUCUGAAAAUGUCUGCUCAGAUCUUCCAAGUUAGUACUCAGUGGAAACAUAUACAUAUCACUGUUUUUCUUCUAUGUCUAAAUCAAAACUUUUACAAUCUCCUCAACGGUUUAAGUGUAGUUUUAACAGUUUAUCAAAUUUCUUUUUCAUUCUUUCUACUCCAAAAUCAAAUAAACUAUCCUCUUAAUGGUGACAGGACAUUCCUUAAUGAGAUAUGUCUUAAAAAAAUGAAGUAUAUUUCCUCUUUUUGACAGCUCUGAAGGACAGGCUUUUGAGAGGAACUGUGUCUAUUUCACCAUCUGGAGUCCUGCCUAACUAGUCGUAGAAAAAAAUUGCAUGACCUUAAGUGUGCAGUACCACAGGAAAAUAUAAAUAUCUCUGCUUCUCCAAACUCUUCUAGAAAUCAUGAGAUAUUUUAAGCAUUUAACUGAAGCAGACACUCUUACUUAAGGCACAUUUUUUUUUAGUUCAGAUUUAUUAACAAAUUUUGAACAACUUAAUCAUGUUCAAAAUAGAAAUAUUGCCUCUGGGAGUCAAAUGCUUUCUGUUCUGAGCCAAAUCUGACUUUGAUAUGUGUGUGUUCCAGAUACCAUAGUCUCAUUUCUUUCUGGUGGAAAUUCUUUGCAACAUGCCGUUUUUAUUAAGGGUAGGAGUCACUGGAUGAAAUUUUAAUGUAAAUUCUCAUCCG